rnacentral:rRNA from 1 species
GGGGGGAGCAAGCGUUGUUCGGAUUUACUGGGCGUAAAGGGCGCGUAGGCGGCCACCGCAAGUCAGUUGUGAAAUCUCCGAGCUUAACUCGGAAAGGUCAACUGAUACUGCGGGGCUAGAGUGCGGAAGGGGCAACUGGAAUUCUUGGUGUAGCGGUGAAAUGCGUAGAUAUCAAGAGGAACACCUGCGGCGAAGGCGGGUUGCUGGGCCGACACUGACGCUGAGGCGCGAAAGCUAGGGGAGCGAACGGGAUUAGAUACCCCGGUAGUCCUAGCCUUAAACGAUGAAUGCUUGGUGUCUGGGGUUAUAUAGUCCCCGGGUGCCGUCGCUAACGCUUUAAGCAUUCCGCCUGGGGAGUACGGUCGCAAGACUG